UACGUAGGGGGCAAGCGUUGUCCGGAAUCAUUGGGCGUAAAGCGCGCGUAGGCGGCCCGGUAAGUCCGCUGUAAAAGUCAAAGGCUCAACCUUUGAAUGUCAGUGGAUACUGCCGGGCUAGAGUCCGGAAGAGGCGAGUGGAACUCCUGGUGUAGCGGUGGAAUGCGCAGAUAUCAGGAAGAACACCAACGGCGAAGGCAGCGCGCUGGGACGGAACUGACGCUGAGACGCGAAAGCUAGGGGAGCCAACGGG
rnacentral:rRNA from 1 species